rnacentral:lncRNA from 13 species
UUUUUUUUUUUAAAUCAAGGAUGGCUUUUAUUGAUGUACCCAUGAUGAACCACCCAAAAUGUGGAAGGGAUGAUGACGUUAUUACAGUAAUCCUCACCAAAGCAAAUUAAAAUACAAAGGUUAUCUGCAGCAGCUUUGCAGUGACAUGAUGCCUUCAUAAAUUAAGGAAACUGGCCCCCUGGCCCGGCUGCUCCCUUCAUGGUCUUCACAAAAUCUUCCCCCUUCUUGAUGGAGGCCUUCAGCCUGGGAGUGGCCUCCGCGAUCAUCUUCUCCUCAGAAGAGGAGACCUUGCUGUUGCUCAGGUUUUUCUCAAUGUCCUUUUUCCCCAGCAGCAGCAGUGUGGAGAAGUAGGUACAUUUCGUUUCCUGUGACUUCAUGAAGGAACAUUUCACGCCUUCCUUUCUGUUCAUUGCAUCCACAAGGAAGAAGAUGAAGCAGACACUGGCAUACGCCAUGGAGAGGGUGGUGGAGCCUGCUGCUGGAGCAGUUUUCACUGUGACAGACUCCCCGAGACUCUGGAUGUCCCGCCUUCUCACCUGUGACACUGAUGCGAUCAUGCCUUUGGAUCUACCCUUCCGGCUCAGCUGGCGCCUUUCACUGUUUCUGCUGCAGACUCACCUUCAGGCUUUGCACCCUAUUCCAGUUUUGGUGACUCAUUUCCUCACUUGAGACACAGAAAUAUGAAUGCAGUGUCAACCAACUAUAAAGGAGUGUCAUGAGAGUUCUGGCCAUGGAGUAAUCAUAAUUCUACUUGGUAUGUGAUUUGACUGCACUUAUUCAUAAUACAAUACUCAAGGGUUUGAAUAUCCUUAUAUUAUUUUUGGCUCUGCUGUGAACUAGAACGUGAUGGAAAAUCACUCCCUGCCCAGCACCCGGGGCUGCAGUGUCCAUAAAAGGUGAUAUG